rnacentral:lncRNA from 1 species
CUUCCAUCUCUGGUCAGCAGCUGGGAGCCUCAGAUGAAGGUGGGGAAAUAAAUUUUCCUCCUUGCUUUAGCACUGAAAUAAUUCCCAGAACAGUGUAAAUGUGGGGGAAAAGGGAAUUUUGGGCAAAAAGGGCUGAAGGCUGAGGUGGGUUGGAUGGAGCCUGGGUGGAAGGAAGAGUGAGCAUCACUUCUUCAUUUCCUACAUAAUAAAUUAACCCUUUCCUUCUUCUUUUCCUCCAGAGAGCCGUGUUUGGGGCGAACCAAGACCUGAGCACAUCCUUUUCCAUUUCCACUCCUUUCCAGGAAUACGUUCCCGAGGAGUUGGGCCUAGCAAUA